UACGUAGGGUGCAAGCGUUAAUCGGAAUUACUGGGCGUAAAGCGUGCGCAGGCGGUGAUGUAAGACAGAUGUGAAAUCCCCGGGCUCAACCUGGGAACUGCAUUUGUGACUGCAUCGCUGGAGUGCGGCAGAGGGGGAUGGAAUUCCGCGUGUAGCAGUGAAAUGCGUAGAUAUGCGGAGGAACACCGAUGGCGAAGGCAAUCCCCCUGGGCCUGCACUGACGUCAUGCACGAA
rnacentral:rRNA from 1 species